rnacentral:rRNA from 1 species
ACGGGGUGCAGCAGGCGCGAAACCUUUACAAUGCACGAAAGUGUGAUAAGGGAAUUCCACGUGCAAGCUAUGCUUGCUUUUCUCAAGUCCAAAACGCUUGGGGAAUAAGGGCUGGGCAAGACCCGUGCCAGCCGCCGCGGUAACACGGGCAGCUCGAGUAGCGUUCACGAAUAUUGGGCCUAAAGCGUGCGUAGCUGGCUAGACAAGUUCUUGGUGAAAGCACACGACUCAAUCGUGUGAGUUGCCAGGAAAACUGUCUUGGCUUGGGGCCGGAAAGGGUUGGAGGUAUUCUAGGGGUAGGGGUAAAAUCCUGUGAUCCCUAGAGGACCAACGGUGGCGAAGGCGUCCAACUGGGACGGGCCCGACAGUGAGGCACGAAAGCUAGGGGAGCGACCCGGAUUAGAUACCCGGUUAGUCCUAGCCGUAAAUGAUGCAGGUUUGGUAUUGCAUUCCUUACGAGGGAAUGCAGUGCCGUAGGGAAGCCGUUAAACCUGCCGCCUGGGGAGUACGGCCGCAAGGCUGAAACUUAAAGGAAUUGGCGGGGGAGUACUACAAGGGGUGGAGGCUGCGGUUUAAUUGGAUACAACGCCGGACAACUCACCAGGGAAGACAGCACUAUGAUGGUCAGCCUGAAGGGCUUACUUGAGGCGCUGAGAGGUGGUGCAUGGCCACCGUCAGCUCGUGCAGUGAUGUGUCCUGUUAAGUCAGGCAACGAGCGAGACCCGUGCUUCC